AUCCCUUCAGCUCCAAUGAUGAACUUUGUGCGUGCCCAGAUCAAGAAAGCAGCUGACGAGACCGAGACUAUUCUGGAAACAACCCCGGCUGGCAAAAGCGAUGGGGAAGGUGCACUUCGAGAAUUCAUUAAGCGCCAGGGCCAAA